CAACGACCCAGGCCGCACAGAACUUGUCAACUCAUCCAUUGCGAUCGGGGUAGACCAGAAGAUCUGGGUGGAGCUGAAGACGAAGGUGACCACGCUGUGGUGACCGACUCCUGCUGGGCAACCAGCGAGGCAUUACCUGACGCGGUUCCACGUUACAACCUCGUCAUUAAGGGAUGCCAUACAGCUGACCAGACAGUGAAAGUGGUGGGAAACGGACUGGGAACGUCCAACUACUUGUGUAUCAACAUGUUGAAUUCGCCGGGGAAAGUAGCAAACUCCACCUGCACUGCCAACUGAGGCUGUGCCCCAAAAAGGGCAAUUCCUGUGCCCCGGUCUGCGGCCCAGGUGGUAACAGGAAGCGCAGAUCCUUCAGUUCUCAAUACGCAGAUGAAACCCCAGCCCUCAUCACAAUGGCCUGGAGUAAUUAGAUGAAGACAUGGUGUGUAUACAGGCACUCAGUUUUGAUCUUUAGGGGGGUCUAAAUAUUGAGUUUUGCUCUUGUGAGUUCCAUGCAUAAAUGUGCCAAUACGGUAAAAUCUGAUUUCAGCUCCCUCAUUAUUUAAAAGAGCUCUGAAAGUAUC